rnacentral:rRNA from 1 species
AUCAACGCUGGCGGCGCGCUUAACACAUGCAAGUCGAACGAGGAAAGCAGGGGCAACCCUGUGAGUACAGUGGGCGUACGGGUGAGUAACACGUGGGUAAUCUACCCUUUAGUGGGGAAUAACGCUGGGAAACCGGCGCUAAUACCGCAUUAAUCUCGGAAGAGGGAAAGCAGCAAUGCGCUGAAGGAGGAGCCGCGGCGCCGAUUAGCCAGUUGGUGAGGUUAAAGGCUCACCAAAGCGAAGAUCGGUAGCCGGCCUGAGAGGGCACAACGGCCACACUGGCACUGAAAACACGGGCCAGACUCCUACGGGAGGCAGCAGUGGGGAAUCUUGCACAAUGGGGGAAACCCUGAUGCAGCGACGCCGCGUGAGCGAUGAAGCCCCUUCGGGGGUGUAAAGCUCUUUCGCAGGGACGAUUAUGACGGUACCUGCAGAAGCAGCUGCGGCUAACUACGUGCCAGCAGGCCGGCGGUAAUACGUAGGCAGCGAGCGUUGUUCGGAGUUACUGGGCGUAAAGGGUGUGUAGGCGGUUCUCUAAGUUUGGUGUGAAAUCCCCCGGCCUAAACCGGGAGGGUGCGCCGAAAACUGGAGGGCUAGAGUGCGGGAUGGGAGAGUAGAUUCCUGGUGUAGCGGUGAAAUGCGUAGACUAUUCAGGAGGAAUACCGGUGGUGUAGACGGCUCUCUGGACCGCGACUGACGCUGAGACACGAAAGCGUGGUUAGCAACAGGAUUAGAUACCCUGGUAGUCCACGCCCUAAACGAUGCAUUUGGUGUAGGUCAUUCAGUUGAUCUGUGCCGGAGCUAACGCGUUAAAUCUGCCGCCUGGGGUAGGUACAGUCGCAAGGAUGAAACUCAAAGGAACUUGACGGGGGCCUGCACAAGCGGUGGAGCAUGUGGUUCAAUUCGACGCAACGCGAAGAACCUUACCUGGGCUCGAACGGCUGGUCAACGAUCGUGGAACCACGGCUCACUCCGCAAGGGCGGUCCAGUCGAGGUGCUUGCAUGGCUGUCGUCAGCUCGUGUAGUGAGAUGUUGGGUUAAGUCCCCGCAACGCGCGCAACCCUUGUCCUGUGUUGCCAACCCGCAAGGGGGGCCUCGCAGGAGACCGCCACGCGAUAAGCUGGAGGCAAGGUGGGGAUGACGUCAAGUGCCUCAUUGGCCUUUAUGUCAGCAGCUACACACGUGCUACAAUGGCCGGUACAAAGCGCAGCUAAGUCAGCGGAGAACGGAGCCAAUCGCAAAAAAACCGGUCUCAGUUCGGAUUGGCAGGCUGCAACCUCGCCUGCAUUGAAGCUGGAAUCGCUAGUAAUGGCGUAUCAGAACGACUGCCGUGAAUCGUUCCCGGGCCUUGUACACACCGCCCGUCACAUCACGAAAGUGGGUUGUACUAGAGUCUGCAGGCUGACCCGCAAGGAGGCAGCGGCCCAAGGUAUGACUCAUGAUUGGGGUG